GGGGGGGACAGCACAGGCAGACGGAUUCUGAGCUCCGCGUGGAUGUUCGAGGAGUUUCAUUCAUAAUUCUAACAACAGACUGCCAUCUUUGUCAAGCAAUCUCAAGUCAAUUGUUAAAGCAGCAUUGCAGAUCCAAGAUUUCAGCUAUUGUUUGAUUGUCUGGAACAUAUUCCCGAGCUAAACAAGAGAACAUGGUGCCGUCAGCAAUUAAUGAUCCAACUGCUGUGAUGUCGAGCCAGAGGAGAAGGAGGCAGAGAGGGGAACAAGGCCUCAAUCCUUCCUGCCUUUAAAUGGGAAACCACCAUGAAGCUGGAAAGGUAAAAUCUAAGAUACAAAGGGAAAAAGUUUUUUUAGGGUGUUUCCACUGUUCAUGGUUAUUAUUUUUCACUAAUAUUUUUGUAUUUAAAUCUGCAUUAGAGUGACAAACACUGAAAAGCUGGAAGAGUGACAGACUGACAAAAAGGUUAUCAUAAAGUAGCUCACUGACGCUUUUGAAACACAAUGUUUGUGUUUAGGGGCCUACAACUUUAUUGUUUGAGUUUUAAGAUGCUGUUUGACCUAAAAGCAAUAAAAAGUCUAAAAUGUGUUACCUGCUGAGCUUAAAACUUCAGAAGGACAAAUUUAGCAACUUCUGUGACUGGAUGUCUUUGUAGAAAAUAAAAACCUUCUGAUUUAUGUGAGAGGACAUCAACGGUUUGAUAAAAACAAAAAA